AUUGAACGCUAGCUACAGGCUUAACACAUGCAAGUCGAGGGGUAACAAGAGGAAAGCUUGCUUUUCUUGUUGACGACCGGCGCACGGGUGAGUAACGCGUAUCCAACCUGCCUAUAACUAGGGAAUAACCUUGCGAAAGUAAGACUAAUACCCUAUGAUUUCCUUUGAUGGCAUCAGAUUAGGAAUAAAGAUUUAUCGGUUAUAGAUGGGGAUGCGUCUGAUUAGCUUGUUGGCGGGGUAACGGCCCACCAAGGCAACGAUCAGUAGGGGUUCUGAGGGGAAGGUCCCCCACAUUGGAACUGAGACACGGUCCAAACUCCUACGGGAGGCAGCAGUGAGGAAUAUUGGUCAAUGGGCGGAAGCCUGAACCAGCCAAGUAGCGUGCAGGAUGACGGCCCUAUGGGUUGUAAGCUGCUUUUAUACAGGAAUAAAGUUAGCCACGUGUGGUUAUUUGUAGGUACUGUAUGAAUAAGGAUCGGCUAACUCCGUGCCAGCCGCCGCAGUAA
rnacentral:rRNA from 1 species